rnacentral:lncRNA from 1 species
AUGGACGCAGCGGAUAGGAGCUGCACAGUAUCUGUGCACUGUAGCAACCACCGCGUCAAGAUGCUGGUGAAGUUCCCGGCGCAGUACCCCAACAAUGCCGCCCCUUCCUUCCAGUUUAUUAACCCUACCACCAUCACGUCCACCAUGAAAGCAAAGCUGCUAAAGAUCCUGAAGGACACCUCGCUGCAGAAAGUGAAACGCAACCAGAGCUGUUUGGAGCCUUGCCUGCGUCAGCUCGUCUCCUGCCUUGAGUCUUUCGUGAACCAAGAAGACAGCACUUCCAGCAACCCAUUUGCGCUCCCAAACUCUGUCACACCACCCUUACCAACAUUUGCACGGGUCACCACUGCCUAUGGGUCUUACCAGGAUGCUAAUAUCCCCUUUCCUAGGACUUCUGGGGCCAGGUUCUGUGGAGCAGGUUGGUCUCUGUGGUUCUCUGAUUCUAGAUCUUAAGAGAGUACAGUCAAGAGUGUUGUGUGUUCUAUGAAAGCAUCUUCAUCAGAAAAGAUUUUAUUACCAAUAAAAGGAUAUACAAAAAAAAAAAAAAAAAGAAAAGAUUUUAUUUAAAAAAAAAAAAAAGAAAAGAUUUUAUUUAAAAAAAAAAAAAGGCCGGGGAUUUAGCUCAGUGGUUCCGGUGCCUGCCUUGCAAGCGCAAGGUCCCGAGUUGGAUCCCUGGUACCAAAAAAAAUAAAAUUAAAAAAAAAAAAGAAAGAAGAGAUUUUGUUUAUAUUUCCUGAGAAU